GACAGGGGAUAGGCCAAAAAGCAUUGUGAGUAUUUGAACGCUUGGCAACGUUGUCGCGGUUUGUGUAUAUUUGACACGUAAAUGUGACAACAAUGCAUCAGGUUUGUGUACGUACUUUCUGAUUGAUGUUUCGGCGACCUAUUUGGGAUAGUGCACUAUAUUGUGUUAUUCAAGUGAAUCGAAUCUUUCAAAAUGGUCAUGCAAUGCUCAUAUUGUGGGAAAAAAGCCGACAGUGGGCGAACAUUCCAUCAGUUUCCAUUAAAUAAACCAGAAUUACUCAAAUCUUGGCUGGAGAAUGUCAAUCUAGGUGACCACUUCGAACCAUCGAAAAGCAUGAGAUUGUGCUCCGAUCACUUCACAGCCCAAUGUUUUCAGAAAACAGGGGUCAACGUAAAACUGAUCCAUGAAAGUGUUUCCACCGUUUUUGACACGUAUAGGUCGGCAUGUGCAUAUUGUUCCUCGAUGUAAAUGCCUAAAGAUAAUCUGAUAUUACACAGAAACCCAGUAUUACUGAAAAAUCGGAUUCUGGCUAUCGGCAAAGAGAAUUACACACCUGAAGAGACAAGUCGCCUUUGCUCCAAUCAUUUUGAGAGAACCUGCUUUCGUUCCUCGGGUUGUAAGGGAUCACUCCUUUCGAGAAAUACGGCAGUCCCCACUAUAUUUCUACCCAUUCUAUCUGAAGGAAUACCUGUUCCUGGAAAACAGAGAAUGCAUUGCAAAAUUCACCAACGAAAUAUCCUAGACUAGCAACAUCCCAUGAAACACCAGUUAUAGAGACAGCAGAGCAUUAAAUACCUAGCUUCGAAGACAUAGUAUUGGCAAGUACUUUAAAGAAAAUGCCCGUUCCAGCAGUGACUACACCAAAUCGUAGCACCCAGCCAAUAGAACCAAUCACCGGAAAAUGGCUUCUUCUCGCCAAACAUGACCACCACUAUGAGAGCACACCUAGAACCACCAGAAGGAAGCUUAUAGUAACAAAUAAGAAAAUGAAGGUUUUGCAGGAGGAAGUACGAGUUCACAAGCAGCGAAUCAAUAGAUUGAAGAAGAGGAUUCAUUCCCUCAAAGAUAUUGUACAUUGAAAGAAAAUCGCUUCCCAAGAAAAGACAGUGGAAGGGCUCACGUACAAACCCUGGUUCAGGCAUUCCCAGAGAAAAGUACCCAACGGCUAUGACGCUCCAUUUCUACUCACCCAAGGCAUGCGGUUUUGUGCGCAGAAAGUUCUGUAACGCUUUACCUGAUCCUGUUACCUUGAGAGCGUGGUAUUCAACGAUCGACGGUGAACCAGGCUUUGCAUCGGAAGGUCUGAAUGCUUUAAAACUUAAAGUAUUCGAGGCUAAGGCUGUUGGCAAGGAAGUUUUAGUUGCAUUCAUGCUAGAUGAAAUGGGUAUUAAAAAAGGUAUGCAAUAUAGUCCAAAUGGAAUUGUGAGAGGGUAUGUUGAUUUGGGGAGUCGGAUGGAAAAAUCUGAGAUGGUGCCUUUAGCAAAAGAUGCCCUCGUAAUGACGGUUGUUGCCUGAGAUGGAAGCUGGAUGAUUCCUAUAGGAUAUUUUUCCAUUACUGGAACUGAUUCAGAAACAAAUUUGGGACUCGUGACUGAUGCUUUAAUUCGUCUGCAUGGCAUUGGCAUUACAGUAGUAUCUGUAACAUUAGAUGGCCCUUCAGAACAUUUUUCUACAAUGCGCCUACUUGGAGCUAAUUCUGUCGUGCCGAAUCCAGCACCUUAUUUUGUUCAUCCCUCGACUGUUGGAAAAGUAUUUGUAAUUAUUGACGCUUGUCAUAUGUUGAAGCUAGUAAGGAACUGCUUAGGUGAUAAAGCCUGAGCAUUUUUCAUGAUUAAAACAACAAUUUGUACUAAUAAGUUGUAAUAUAAACGUCAAAAAAUUUUGAUUUCUACUCAUGCUUUUUAGUAACGAUUCUAACGAACUACAUUUCGAAGUAUAGUUAUAGUUAGUCAGUGAUUCUCCUCACACAUAUUCCAUUCCAGUCCAUUCUUCUCACCAAAUUUGUUCAAAUUUGCCGCUGAAAGUGUCGAAUAUCCACGAACAAGAUGGCUCCUACGCCUUACAGCCAUUCCGGCGAAAUAGCCGUGCAUACCUUGUCCAGUCUGGCGAAUCAAAAUUCGAACUUAUUACAUACGCACACAUAUGGAAACGGUACUGCGCAAUGUCUGGCGUGACAUAAAAGAAAAACUCCAACAUAAAUUUUGGCGAAGACGAUGUUGAAUACGUGAAUUCUUCAUCUCAUUCUACGGAGAGAGAGAAAUUUGGUCGCGAUUCCGUAAAGUAGGAACGCGGUAAAGCUCGCGCGUGCACAGAACUGAAAUCGGCCGUGAUUGGCGCUGCAUCGUAGUACCAACUGUAUUUUCCUUUCGGUCAUUCCAGCGAAGAGGGGUGGCGUGUAAUAAUAAAUGGUGGUAGCCUAAUUGGUGGUAGCACUGCACUCGAGAGAUUUCGGAUCACGCCGCCGACGCAGUGCGACAACCAACCGCUUUCAUCAGUCUUUCACGAACAAUCAUCAUGGCCGAUAACGAACGUAUACGAAGGCGUCGGCGCAGCAAGGGGGAGCGCCGUUCGUGUGCAAAGGUGGCGGUCGGGGUGGCCUACCCCCGCAUCAACCGCCCGCGGAACAUCAUCCUGGUUGACAUAACCGCCGAGUUGGAGGCGCUGAGAGCUACGUGAUAUCGCGGCAGCCACCGCAGCCCGAGGCCCAGCCUGGACCGACACGGGCGGCGGCGGAGAA